rnacentral:rRNA from 1 species
CACCUCUAGCAUUUCAAGUAUUAGAGGCAUUGCCUGCCCAGUGACUAUAGUUAAACGGCCGCGGUAUCCUGACCGUGCAAAGGUAGCAUAAUCAUUUGUUCCUUAAUUAGGGACUAGUAUGAACGGCUAGACGAGGGUUCAACUGUCUCUUAUUUUUAAUCAGUGAAAUUGACCCUCCAGUGAAGAGGCUGGAAUAUAACAAUAAGACGAGAAGACCCUAUGGAGCUUAAAUUAAUAGCUUAAUUACUGUUUUACUACCCUAUAUGGCAUAAGACAAAAAUUAUAAGCUUAAAAUUUUGGUUGGGGUGACCUCGGAGAAUAAAAUAUCCUCCGAACGAUAAAUAACUUAGACUCACAAGUCAAAGUAGCCUAACUAACUAUCUAAUUGACCCAAAAAUUGAUCAACGGACCAAGUUACCCUAGGGAUAACAGCGCAAUCCUAUUUAAGAGUCCAUAUCGACAAUAGGGUUUACGACCUCGAUGUUGGAUCAGGACAUCCCAAUGGUGCAGAAGCUAUUAAUGGUUCGUUUGUUCAACGAUUAAA